rnacentral:rRNA from 1 species
UACGGAGGGGGCGAGCGUUAUUCGGAAUUAUUGGGCGUAAAGGGCGCGUAGGCGGCUGUACAAGUCAAAGGUGAAAUCCCUCGGCUCAACUGAGGAACUGCCUUUGAAACUGUACGGCUUGAGGCCGGGAGGGGGUAGCGGAAUUCCCAGUGUAGCGGUGAAAUGCGUAGAUAUUGGGAGGAACACCAGUGGCGAAGGCGGCUCACUGGCCCGGUACUGACGCUGAGGUGCGAAAGCGUGGGGAGCAAACAGG